rnacentral:rRNA from 1 species
CCUACGGGGGCGCAGUGGGGAAUAUUGCACAAUGGGCGCAAGCCUGAUGCAGCCAUGCCGCGUGUAUGAAGAAGGCCUUCGGGUUGUAAAGUACUUUCAGCGAGGAGGAAGGCAUUGUGGUUAAUAACCCAGUGAUUGACGUUACUCGCAGAAGAAGCACCGGCUAACUCCGUGCCAGCAGCCGCGGUAAUACGGAGGGUGCAAGCGUUAAUCGGAAUUACUGGGCGUAAAGCGCACGCAGGCGGUCUGUCAAGUCGGAUGUGAAAUCCCCGGGCUCAACCUGGGAACUGCAUUCGAAACUGGCAGGCUAGAGUCUUGUAGAGGGGGGUAGAAUUCCAGGUGUAGCGGUGAAAUGCGUAGAGAUCUGGAGGAAUACCGGUGGCGAAGGCGGCCCCCUGGACAAGACUGACGCUCAGGUGCGAAAGCGUGGGGAGCAAACAGGAUUAGAUACCCGUAGUC